GAUGAACGCUGGCGGCGUGCCUAAUACAUGCAAGUCGAGCGAACAGACGAGGAGCUUGCUCCUCUGACGUUAACGGCGGACGGGUGAGUAACACGUGGAUAACCUACCUAUAAGACUGGGAUAACUUCGGGAAACCGGAGCUAAUACCGGAUAAUAUAUUGAACCGCAUGGUUCAAUAGUGAAAGACGGUUUUGCUGUCACUUAUAGAUGGAUCCGCGCCGCAUUAGCUAGUUGGUAAGGUAACGGCUUACCAAGGCAACGAUGCGUAGCCGACCUGAGAGGGUGAUCGGCCACACUGGAACUGAGACACGGUCCAGACUCCUACGGGAGGCAGCAGUAGGGAAUCUUCCGCGAUGGACGAAAGCCUGACGGAGCAACGCCGCGUGAGUGAUGAAGGUCUUCGGAUCGUAAAACUCUGUUAUUAGGGAAGAACAAAUGUGUAAGUAACUAUGCACGUCUUGACGGUACCUAAUCAGAAAGCCACGGCUAACUACGUG
rnacentral:rRNA from 1 species